AAUUUCAUGGACUUUGGUUGCAUAAUAUUCAAAUGAAAUUGGAACCACGUUUGUAUGAAGCGAGUGACGGAGAGACCCCUCUUAAAUGUACUUGUAUUAUUUUCUCUCUCGUAGGUGAUCCUCGCUUUUACCCGUUUUUCCAAAAAGUAGCCUCAGUGUAGCUGGAGCGAAUAAAAAAAAUAAAAAUAGAUUUUAUUAAUAAAUAAAUAAUAAUUAAUAAUAAGAUAUUUAUUAUAGUCAAUGGAGAAAACUUACAGACGCUUUAUUAAAGUUAAUUUUUUAAUUAAGAUUGUCGUCAGCUUUUCUAUAAGAUUUAUUAUUGGAUUAAUAAUGAUUUUACUGUUGUGUACAGACUUUUGUGAGUUUUAACUUUUAACAGAGUAAUACAGAUGCCAUAUUUAUUUAUUGUUAGACAGAUUGUGUUUCCAUGAAAUACAGAAAUGUGUCAAUUCCUUUCACCUUAUUUUCAAU